GUCCACGCCGUAAACGAUGGGUACUAGGCGUCGGGGGAGCGACCCCUUCGGUGCCGUCGCUAACGCAGUAAGUACCCCGCCUGGGGAGUACGGCCGCAAGGCUGAAACUCAAAGGAAUUGACGGGGGCCCGCACAAGCGGUGGAGCAUGUGGUUUAAUUCGAAGCAACGCGAAGAACCUUACCUGGGCUUGACAUGCACGGGAAAGCCGGUGGAAACAUCGGCCCCUCUUCGGAGUCCGUGCACAGGUGCUGCAUGGCUGUCGU
rnacentral:rRNA from 1 species